rnacentral:tRNA from 1 species
GCUGGUGUAGCUCAGUUGGUAGAGCAGUUGAUUUGUAAUCAACCGGUCAGGGGUUCAAGUCCCCUCACUAGCUUA